UAAAUGAGAAUUCUUGGUGUUGCUGCUUGACAACAAUAAGGAGUGUCUGAGUAGAUUUUUUUUCUUUUCAAUAUAAUUCUAGCCUUUUUGUGCUCCAAACACAGCCACUGGCUCCAAUAAGCAGCAGUCUUUGCAGGUCUGCGGUGCUGGACUGGGACACAAUAGGGACUGAUUCUCUUUCACAAAUCACCUUAUUAUUGCCACAGUUUGAAAGAUUUGAACGGUACAAGAUGGCAUUUCCUGAGAAACACCCUGAAGGCCUCAGUGGAGAUCCCUUUGGCUGGGGUCAGCCUCCUCUCCUGAUCCUCCUCCCCUCCCGGGGUCACCUGGACGCCCACUUCCAC